UACGUAGGUGGCAAGCGUUGUCCGGAUUUACUGGGCGUAAAGGAUGCGUAGGCGGACUUUUAAGUGAGAUGUGAAAUACCAGGGCUCAACCCUGGCACUGCAUUUCAAACUGGAAGUCUGGAGUGCGGGAGAGGAAAGUGGAAUUCUUAGUGUAGCGGUGAAAUGCGUAGAUAUUAAGAAGAACACCAGUGGCGAAGGCGACUUUCUGGACCGUAACUGACGCUGAGGCAUGAAAGCGUGGGGAGCAAACAGG
rnacentral:rRNA from 1 species